UUAACACAUGCAAGUCGAGGGGCAUCAGGAAGAAAGCUUGCUUUCUUUGCUGGCGACCGGCGCACGGGUGAGUAACACGUAUCCAACCUGCCCUUUACUCGGGGAUAGCCUUUCGAAAGAAAGAUUAAUACCCGAUAGCAUAAUGAUUCCGCAUGGUUUCAUUAUUAAAGGAUUCCGGUAAAGGAUGGGGAUGCGUUCCAUUAGGUUGUUGGUGAGGUAACGGCUCACCAAGCCUUCGAUGGAUAGGGGUUCUGAGAGGAAGGUCCCCCACAUUGGAACUGAGACACGGUCCAAACUCCUGCGGGAGGCAGCAGUGAGGAAUAUUGGUCAAUGGGCGUUAGCCUGAACCCAGCCAAGUAGCGUGAAGGAUGAAGGCUCUAUGGGUCGUAAACUUCUUUUAUAUAAGAAUAAAGUGCAGUAUGUAUACUGUUUUGUAUGUAUUAUAUGAAUAAGGAUCGGC
rnacentral:rRNA from 1 species